UAAUGCUUGGGAACUUGCCUUUGCGAGGGGGAUAACAGUUGGAAACGACUGCUAAUACCGCAUAAUGUCUUCGGACCAAACGGGGCUUUUAGCUCCGGCGCAAAGAGAGGCCCAAGUGAGAUUAGCUAGUUGGUAAGGUAACGGCUUACCAAGGCGACAAUCUCUAGCUGUUCUGAGAGGAAGAUCAGCCACACUGGGACUGAAACACGGCCCAAACUCCUACGGGAGGCAGCAGUGGGGAAUAUUGCACAAUGGGGGAAACCCUGAUGCAGCCAUGCCGCGUGUGUGAAGAAGGCCUUCGGGUUGUAAAGCACUUUCAGUUGUGAGGAAAAGUUAGUAGUUAAUACCUGCUAGCCGUGACGUUAACAACAGAAAAAGCACCGGCUAACUCCGUGCCAGCAGCCGCGGUAAUACGGAGGGUGCGAGCGUUAAUCGGAAUUACUGGGCGUAAAGCGCACGCAGGCGGUUUGUUAAGCUAGAUGUGAAAGCCCCGGGCUCAACCUGGGAUGGUCAUUUAGAACUGGCAGACUAGAGUCUUGGAGAGGGGAGUGGAAUUCCAGGUGUAGCGGUGAAAUGCGUAGAUAUCUGGAGGAACAUCAGUGGCGAAGGCGACUCCCUGGCCAAAGACUGACGCUCAUGUGCGAAAGUGUGGGUAGCGAACAGGAUUAGAUACCCUGGUAGUCCACACCGUAAACGCUGUCUACUAGCUGUGUGUGCCUUUAAGGCGUGCGUAGCGAAGCUAACGCGCUAA
rnacentral:rRNA from 1 species